rnacentral:tRNA from 1 species
GCCGAUGUGAUGGAAUGGUAGACAUGAGUGAUUCAAAAUCACUUGCCUUCGCGGCGUGGCGGUUCGAGUCCGCCCAUCGGUACCA